GUASSCGUGCGAGCGUUAAUCGGAAUUACUGGGCGUAAAGCGUGCGCAGGCGGUUCUCCAAGUCCGUUGUGAAAGCCCCGGGCUCAACCUGGGAAUGGCAGUGGAAACUAGGGGACUGGAAUCUGGCAGAGGGGGGUGGAAUGCCGCGUGUAGCAGUGAAAUGCGUAGAGAUGCGGCGGAACACCGAUGGCGAAGGCAGCCCCCUGGGCUGAGAUUGACGCUCAGGCACGAAAGCGUGGGGAGCAAACAGGAUUAGAUACCCUGGUAGUCCACGCCCUAAACGAUGGCAACUAGGUGUUGGGGAAGCGAUUUCCUGGUACCGCAGCUAACGCGUGAAGUUGCCCGCCUGGGGAGUGCGGUCGCAAGAUUA
rnacentral:rRNA from 1 species